rnacentral:piRNA from 1 species
UGUUCACACACAGGGAUGGCUGAUGGA